rnacentral:tRNA from 1 species
GAGGGUAUAGCUGAGCGGUAGAGUGCAUGCUUAGCAUGCACGAAGUCCUGGGUUCAGUCCCCAGUACCUCCU